rnacentral:misc_RNA from 1 species
AAGACAAUAGUUAUUUUCAAUGAACGAGAGAUAAUUUCAACUGACAGAUUGAAUAUUCGAAUCUCAUUGUGGACGCAACACCCCUGUUAGUCUUCUAGUCCUCCCAAAAAUUCAGCAAAAGAAAUCUACUGAUCCCACACGAGUAAUAUGCUCAUGGUCAAUAGAUACUGCUAGAUCAUCAAAUGAAUAGUGAGACAUACAAUAAUAAAGGAACAAUAUUGAUAUAUGAGUUCGAUUUCAUUACAAGGAUGCAAAUGACAAGCAGCUAAAGGUGCCACAUUGUCAUUAAAAUCAGACGUCCGCCCUCUGUUUACUGUCCCCUUUCUUUCCUCCAUUCUCAGAUACUGUUUCAACAGCUACUCCAUAACUCGAGAAUGAUAUUUGGACUCACUUUCUCUUCAAUAGUCUGGACAACUGCACUUCAAUUUAAAACACAUUGCAGCUCAACUCUACUACUAGAUAGUCUUUGAAGGUUCAUAGUGCUUUUCUGACAGGCGGAGAUAGCAAAAGUUUUCAACCUGCACAUUUAACCAUCUGGUCACUUUCAGGAUCAGUGGAAACACUCCUUGUAUACAUCAUUGUCGUGGAACCCAAUAUGUCAUCUCCAAAACCACAUGCUUUGAAGAACAACCUAACAAAAGUUCAGGUAAAUUUUGGUUACCAGCUAAGCUUUUCAUGUACAUGAAUAUAAAUAUCUGAGCAUGCCUACCGAGAAAAAAAUUUGCAACCCAUGCUCCUUCUCUAGUUGCAGUGAGUUCUAUUUGCCAAAGGCAACUAGAAGAAGCAGAAGGGAACUUUUGAAAAUAUAUUUGUGGGAUGCACAAGAUAUAAAUGAUAAUUCAUGUGAAUAUUCAUCAUGGACGAGCAACCUUCAUAAAAUUAACUAGCUGCCAUGAAUUUGAGGCUUCUGUACAUUUACCUCUCAUUGGCAGAGCAAAGGGCUGCAAUAUCAUAAAUUUCUCUAUUUGUGAGCAUUCUGGCAGGAGAAAAGGUAAAUGUCAGACUUCAGAUAUGGUUCUUUUCAUUUUGUAUUAUUAUAUAAAGGGUGGGGGAGAGGAUGUUGCGAAGUCGGUGAGCAUUUGCCUACAAGAAAUGAUACAUAGAUUAAAUGGAUAGGUUUCCAGCGAUCACAAGGAUGAUAAAAGAAAAAUACUUAGUUGUUUUAAAGAGGCCAAAAUAGGUGGAUGCAUUGGAGCAAGCAAACAAGGUAUCAACUCAAGAUGGGCUAUGUAAUACCAAUUUGAACAUACAAAAAUAUGUUGGCACAAACAGCAAGGAAAGUAUUAAGAAAGUGCAAAUCAAAAUCUAAAAUUUAAUAAGCAUUUAGGAGAAGAAGAUAAAUGAUGAAUAACCUUAUAAUUCUUUUAACUAUCAUCUUCCCGAUUCCCAUUCUCCGCAGUGAAGGUACAACCUGGGAAGCACAUGACAUCGUAGAUGGAAGCAGUCAAUCCGAAAUCAGAAACUGCGCGGCCAAAGCCGACUAGUUGGCUGUUGGAGGGAGAGACAACAGGAAGAUGAAGAGGCAGAGGCGUCACUCUCCGCAACAAAUCUCCUAAACCCAUAAGAGGAGGAGAAGGAGGGUCUUCUUCAGGCUGGUUAUUAUCAACAACUGCAUCCUGUAAAUUGCAGAAGACGGAGACGAGAACAGAGCUGUGGGAGAGAGCAAGGCGAAGCUUCUUCAAAUCAACUGCUUCUACUAGCUUUCCAUUAUGGUCGAUCGCUGGAAACCGGUGGCACGAGUGAUUGCAGGUUGUGCAGAGUUCUCUCAGGUCCUGUGGGUUUAUGUCAGACGGAUUUGUAGAUAUGUAAAUGGGAAUUCUUCUAGAUUUUAACUUCGAUGACAAUCUCUUCCCAUAAUCUUUUGUGGUUGCCCAUCUUACUUCCAUGGUCUUAAUAUCAUAUCCUCCAGCAGCACCUUUCAUCUGCAUGGCCACAGCAGCAACUUCCAUCUUUCCUUGUCUAUGCCUUCUCUGUGGCUCGGUG